GACGAACGCUGGCGGCGUGCUUAACACAUGCAAGUCGAACGGAAAGGCCCUGCUUUUGUGGGGUGCUCGAGUGGCGAACGGGUGAGUAAUACGUGAGUAACCUGCCCUUGACUCUGGGAUAAGCCUGGGAAACUGGGUCUAAUACUGGAUACGACAUGCCACUGCAUGGUGGUGUGUGGAAAGGGUUUUACUGGUUUUGGAUGGGCUCACGGCCUAUCAGCUUGUUGGUGGGGUAAUGGCCUACCAAGGCGACGACGGGUAGCCGGCCUGAGAGGGUGACCGGCCACACUGGGACUGAGACACGGCCCAGACUCCUACGGGAGGCAGCAGUGGGGAAUAUUGCACAAUGGGCGGAAGCCUGAUGCAGCGACGCCGCGUGAGGGAUGAUGGCCUUCGGGUUGUAAACCUCUUUCAGCACGGAAGAAGCGAGAGUGACGGUACGUGCAGAAGAAGCGCCGGCUAACUACGUG
rnacentral:rRNA from 1 species